CAAGUAUGCAAUCUCUGUAAAACCCGCUAGAACCAGUCAUGGUCGGUGGGCUUCUUACCAGGAGAAAAUUACCGAAAUCACUCUUGUCCAAUCAAAGCUGUAGUUAUGGCUGGUGGAGUUCAGUUAGUCAGCAUCUGGUGGAGCUGCAGGUGUUUUAGUAUUGUUUAUUUAGAGGCCAUUGCUUAUUUAGCUGCUAGAGAAAAGGAAAAACCUUGUGGCAGUUAGAACAUAGUUUAUUCUUUAAGUGUAGGGCUGCAUGAUUUAACCCUUGCCUGGCAUGGCCUUAGGUCCUGUUUGUAAUUUGGUAUCUUGUUGCCACAAAGAGUGUGUUUGGUCAGUCUUAUGACCUCUGUUUUGACAUUAAUGCUGGUCAGUUGUGUCUAAACCAUAAAAGGGAGGGGAGUAUAACGAGGUGUGUCUGACCUCUUUUCCUGUCAUGGCUGGGAACUCAGUUUCUAAGGUUUUUCUGGGGUCCUCUUGGCCAAGAGCGUUUCUAUUCAGUUGGUGGAGGGGGCUUAGGAUUUUAUUUUUAGUUUGCAGCCAGGGUCAGUACAUUUCAGUCACCAACCCCCCAGCCUUCCUGAUCCUCCUGUCUUUCCUCACAUCCUGUCAUUGUCAGAGAUUUUACAGAUAUAGAGCUGAAUCAUUUCCUGCCAUCUCUUUUAACACACAAGCCUCCCAGAUCUUUCUAACCCAGGACCUACUUGGAAAGGCAUGCUGGGUCUCUUCCACAGACUUUAAGCUCUCCCUACACCAGAAUUUAGGUGAGUGCUUUGAGGACAUGAAGCUAUUCCUCCCACCACCAGUAGCCUUGGGCUGGCCCACGCUUGCCAACUGUGGAGCUGGAGCGGGAGGGAAGAGUACAGACAUGGAAUUUUAAUUCUGUAAUCCAGGGCUUCAGUUAUGUACAACAUCCAUGCUGUUUGAUGAUUCCACAACUCCUUUUCCAUCUCUCCCAGAAGCCUGCUUUUUAAUGCCCACUCAAUAUUAUCAGAGCCCAGCCUGGAAUCAAACUUCCUCUUUCAAAACCUGCCACUAUAUCCUGGCUUUGUGACCUCAGCCAAGUUGCUUGACCAUUCUCAGUCUCAGUUUCUGCAACUGUCAAAUAGGGUUUAUGUUAACCUAACUUUCAGGGCUGUCAGGAUUAAAUGAGCAUGAACCACAUAAAAUGUUUCGUGUCUAGUAAGUGUACAGUAAAUAUUUCCAUUAUCAGUCCCUCCAAUUCUAUUUUUCUUCCUUCUCUACACAGCCCCUGUCUGGCUUUAAAAUGUCCUGCCCUGCUUUUUAUGAGUGGAUAACCCCAGCCCUAUGUGGAUUAGCAAGUUAAGUAAUGACACUCAGAGACAGUUCCAUCUUUGUCCGUAACUUGCUCUGUGAUCCAGUGUGCAUCACUCAAACAGACUAUCUCUUUUCUCCUACAAAACAGACAGCUGCCUCUCAGAGAAUGUUGGGGGCAUAGGAGGAAUGGAAAGCCCGCUAAGAGAACAGAACUCAAAAACAUUUGGGUUCUAGAUGGGAGGAGGUGUGCGUGCGCAUGUAUGUUUGUGUUUCAGGUCUUGGAAUCUCAGCAGGUCAGUCACAUUGCAGUGUGUCGCUUCACCUGGCUCCCUCGUUUAAAGAUUUUUCUUCCCUCUUUCCAACUCCCUGGGUCCUGGAUCCUCCAACAGUGUCAGGGUUAGAUGCCUUUUAUGGACCACUUGCAUUAGUGUCCUGAUAGAGGCUUAAUCACCGCUCAGAAACUGCCUUCUGCCCACUGGCAAAGGGAGGCAGGGGAAAUACAUGAUUCUAAUUAAUAGUCCAGGCAGAGAGGACACUCAGAAUUUCAGGACUGAAGAGUAUGUGUGUGUGUGAUGGUAAAUGGGCAAAAAUCAUCCCUUGGCUUCCCAUGCAUAAUGCAUGGGCACACAGACUCAAACCCUCUCUCAUACACAUACACAUAUACACUGUUAUUCCACACAAAAGGCAUAAUCCCAGUGUCCAGCACACAUGCAUACACGCACACAUUCCCUUCCUAGGCCACUGUAUUGGUUUCCUAGGGCAUCUUCUUAUAAGACACCAGUUGUAUAAGGAGCCCACCCCACUCAUCUGAGCUUAUCAACCAAUUACAUUAGGAAAGACCGUAUUUCCUAAUAAGGUCACAUUCAGAAGUACUGAGGGUUGGGACUUCAACACAGCUUUUUGGGGGAUCAUAAUUCAACCCAUGACAGCCACUGACAUUAUUAUAUCUCCAGAGAAUAAAUGUGUGGAGUUAAAAGGAAGAUAACAUGUGGUACAAGGGGUGGGAAGGCAAGGGUAAAAGGGGAGGGAGGGGAUUGAACUAGACACACACAGACACAUGAGCAGGACUUUGGGGAGUGUGUUUUAUAUCUGUCAGAUGCCUAGAACAGCACCUGAAACAUGGGACUCAAUCAUUUUAGUCCCCUUCUUUCUAUAAGUGUGUGUGUGCGCACAUGUGUGCUAGAUGUUCUUGCUGUGUUAGGAGGUGAUAAACAUUUGUCCAUGUUAUAUAGGUGGAAAGGGUCAGACUACUAAAUUGUGAAGACAUAAUCUGUCUGCAUUUAUUGAGAAUGUGAAUAUGAAACAAGCUGCAAGUAUUCUAUAAAUGUUCACUGUUAUUAGAUAUUGUAUGUCUUUGUGUCCUUUUAUUCAUGAAUUCUUGCACAUUAUGAAGAAAGAGUCCAUGUGGUCGGUGUCUUACCUGGUGUAGGGUAAAUGCACCUGAUAGCAAUAACUUAAGCAAACCUUUAUAAUGACCCUUUAUGGCAGAUGCACCUGAAUGUGUGUUUCGAGCUAGAAAAUCCGGGAAUGGCCAAUCAGAGAUACAAUUCUUAUCUAUAAUAGACAUCUGAGCCCCUGGCCCAUCCCAUGAAACCCAGGCUGUAGAGAGGAUUGAGGCCUUAAGUUUUGGGUUAAAUGACAGUUGCCAGGUGUCGGUCAUUAGGGAAAGGGGUUAAGUGAAAAUGCUGUAUAAACUGCAUGAUGUUUGCAGGCAGUCGUGGUUUUCCUGCCCAGCCUGCCACCACUGGGCCACGCGGAUAUGUUUUCCAGCCCAACACCACAGGACCAUUUCUGUAUGUAAGGCAAUUCUAUCCAGCCCGCCACCUCUGGACUCCCUCCCCUGUAUGUAAGCCCUCAAUAAAACCCCACAUCUCUUUUGCUGGC
rnacentral:lncRNA from 1 species